rnacentral:rRNA from 1 species
GACGAACGCUGGCGGCGUGCUUAACACAUGCAAGUCGAACGAUGAAGCCCUUCGGGGUGGAUUAGUGGCGAACGGGUGAGUAACACGUGGGCAAUCUGCCCUUCACUCUGGGACAAGCCCUGGAAACGGGGUCUAAUACCGGAUAUCACUCUCGCAGGCAUCUGUGAGGGUCGAAAGCUCCGGCGGUGAAGGAUGAGCCCGCGGCCUAUCAGCUUGUUGGUGAGGUAAUGGCUCACCAAGGCGACGACGGGUAGCCGGCCUGAGAGGGCGACCGGCCACACUGGGACUGAGACACGGCCCAGACUCCUACGGGAGGCAGCAGUGGGGAAUAUUGCACAAUGGGCGAAAGCCUGAUGCAGCGACGCCGCGUGAGGGAUGACGGCCUUCGGGUUGUAAACCUCUUUCAGCAGGGAAGAAGCGAAAGUGACGGUACCUGCAGAAGAAGCGCCGGCUAACUACGUGCCAGCCGCCGCCGUAA